GUGCUUACACAUGCAAGUCGAACGAUGAACCACUUCGGUGGGGAUUAGUGGCGAACGGGUGAGUAACACGUGGGCAAUCUGCCCUUCACUCUGGGACAAGCCCUGGAAACGGGGUCUAAUACCGGAUACCACUACCGCAGGCAUCUGUGGUGGUUGAAAGCUCCGGCGGUGAAGGAUGAGCCCGCGGCCUAUCAGCUUGUUGGUGAGGUAACGGCUCACCAAGGCGACGACGGGUAGCCGGCCUGAGAGGGCGACCGGCCACACUGGGACUGAGACACGGCCCAGACUCCUACGGGAGGCAGCAGUGGGGAAUAUUGCACAAUGGGCGCAAGCCUGAUGCAGCGACGCCGCGUGAGGGAUGACGGCCUUCGGGUUGUAAACCUCUUUCAGCAGGGAAGAAGCGCAAGUGACGGUACCUGCAGAAGAAGCGCCGGCUAACUACGUGCCAGCAGCCGCGGUAAUACGUAGGGCGCAAGCGUUGUCCGGAAUUAUUGGGCGUAAAGAGCUCGUAGGCGGCUUGUCACGUCGGGUGUGAAAGCCCGGGGCUUAACCCCGGGUCUGCAUUCGAUACGGGCUAGCUAGAGUGUGGUAGGGGAGAUCGGAAUUCCUGGUGUAGCGGUGAAAUGCGCAGAUAUCAGGAGGAACACCGGUGGCGAAGGCGGAUCUCUGGGCCAUUACUGACGCUGAGGAGCGAAAGCGUGGGGAGCG
rnacentral:rRNA from 1 species